GACGAACGCUGGCGGCGUGCUUAACACAUGCAAGUCGAACGGAAAGGCCCUGCUUUUGUGGGGUGCUCGAGUGGCGAACGGGUGAGUAGCACGUGAGUAGCCUGCCCUUGACUUUGGGAUAACUUCAGGAAACUGGGGCUAAUACCGGAUAGGAGCUCCUGCUGCAUGGUGGGGGUUGGAAAGUUUCGGCGGUUGGGGAUGGACUCGCGGCUUAUCAGCUUGUUGGUGGGGUAGUGGCUUACCAAGGCUUUGACGGGUAGCCGGCCUGAGAGGGUGACCGGCCACAUUGGGACUGAGAUACGGCCCAGACUCCUACGGGAGGCAGCAGUGGGGAAUAUUGCACAAUGGGCGGAAGCCUGAUGCAGCAACGCCGCGUGCGGGAUGACGGCCUUCGGGUUGUAAACCGCUUUCGCCUGUGACGAAGCGUGAGUGACGGUAAUGGGUAAAGAAGCACCGGCUAACUACGUG
rnacentral:rRNA from 1 species